AGCUCCAGUAGCGUAUAUUAAAGUUGUUGCAGUUAAAAAGCUCGUAGUUGGAUUUCUGGUACGCCAGCGCUGACCCUGUUCCAUUACGGAUAUGUGUGUCGGAUUUUGGCUGCCAUCCUUCCAGAGAACUCGUUCUACCCUUCACUGGGCCGGGACAGCGAUCUGGAACUUUUACUUUGAAAAAAUUAGAGUGUUCAAAGCAGGCUUGCGCUAUGAAUACAUUAGCAUGGAAUAAUAACCUAGGACUCCGGUUCUAUUUUAUUGGUUUCUAGAACUGGUUUAAUGAUUGAUAGGGAUAGUUGGGGGUGCUAGUAUUCAGCGGCCAGAGGUGAAAUUCUUGGAUUCGCUGAAGACUAACUUAUGCGAAAGCAUUCACCAAGGAUGUCUUCUUUAAUCAAGA
rnacentral:rRNA from 1 species